UCUAUACACAAUUUUUAAAUAAGCACUAAUAUCAUAUGAUAGAAACUUAAAGAAUAUGGCGGCUGAGUUUAACUUCAGGGGAACUUACCAAAUAAUAGAUAACCACCAAGAAGCUUCUCUUAUUUUUAUAAUUUGUAUACCGUCGUCAUCAGAAUAUUCAUAAAGUAUAUUCAAAAGGUUUAUACAAAAUGACAGAUCAUGGUGCAGUAAACAAAUAAGUUACUGGCGAGUUACAAUAACUAAGAUUUCGAAAGCCAAAUUAAUUUAAGUUGAAGCUGGACUUGAAAGUAAAUUUAAUUUUAUUUAAAUUUUGAAUUUAAAAAAGUUCAGUGU
rnacentral:rRNA from 1 species